rnacentral:misc_RNA from 1 species
UCCCGCAACAAUUCAGUUCUGUGUCCAACCGUCGUCCUUCAUCUCCCAGAAAAUUCCCCACUUUUUCAACUUUGCUUUGAUGGGUUGAAGGAGAGGGUCAAACCAAAUUGUGAAAAGAUUGUUUGAGAGAGGGAAUGGUGGUAGUUGCUGGGUUAGGUUUUGAAAGAAAAAAGAGAGUUGCUUUGCUCCACAAAUUGAUUGCCUUUUCUUGGUGAGAAGAAGAAUAAGAGGAGGGGUUUAACAGAAAAUCAAAAGAUAGAAAGAAUGAUAAAAAACGUGAUGUGAGAUAAGGGGAGGAUUAAUAAGUAGAAGUGAAUUUUCUGUUGAAA